rnacentral:rRNA from 1 species
GACGAACGCUGGCGGCGUGCUUAACACAUGCAAGUCGAACGGAAAGGCCCUGCUUUUGUGGGGUGCUGGAGUGGCGAACGGGUGAGUAACACGUGAGUAACCUGCCCUUGACUUUGGGAUAACUUCAGGAAACUGGGGCUAAUACCGGAUAGGAGCUCCUGCUGCAUGGUGGGGGUUGGAAAGUUUCGGCGGUUGGGGAUGGACUCGCGGCUUAUCAGCUUGUUGGUGGGGUAGUGGCUUACCAAGGCUGUGACGGGUAGCCGGCCUGAGAGGGUGACCGGCCACAUUGGGACUGAGAUACGGCCCAGACUCCAACGGGAGGCAGCAGUGGGGAAUAUUGCACAAUGGGCGGAAGCCUGAUGCAGCAACGCCGCGUGCGGGAUGACGGCCUUCGGGUUGUAAACCGCUUUCGCCUGUGACGAAGCGUGAGUGACGGUAAUGGGUAAAGAAGCACCGGCUAACUACGUG